GACGAACGCUGGCGGCGUGCCUAAUACAUGCAAGUAGAACGCACAGUUUAUACCGUAGCUUGCUACACCAUAGACUGUGAGUUGCGAACGGGUGAGUAACGCGUAGGUAACCUGCCUGGUAGCGGGGGAUAACUAUUGGAAACGAUAGCUAAUACCGCAUAAUAUUAAUUAUUGCAUGAUAAUUAAUUGAAAGGUGCAAUUGCACCACUACCAGAUGGACCUGCGUUGUAUUAGCUAGUAGGUGAGGUAACGGCUCACCUAGGCGACGAUACAUAGCCGACCUGGGAGGGUGAUCGGCCACCCUGGGACUGAGACACGGCCCAGACUCCUACGGGAGGCAGCAGUAGGGAAUCUUCGGCAAUGGACGAAAGUCUGACCGAGCAACGCCGCGUGAGUGAAGAAGGUUUUCGGAUCGUAAAGCUCUGUUGUAAGAGAAGAACGGGUGUGAGAGUGGAAAGUUCACACUGUGACGGUAUCUUACCAGAAAGGGACGGCUAACUACGUG
rnacentral:rRNA from 1 species